ACAUGCCUACAACAUUGUGUUAAUGCAUCGAAUCCCAUUAUAACUCCACAGUUAAGCGCGCUCAGUCUAGAGUAGUACUGGGAUGGGUGACCACCCGGGAAGUCCUAGCAUUUUACAUGCC
rnacentral:rRNA from 1 species